GACAAACAGCUACCUACUCCAGUUCUUAACAAAUGGUUGCGUUGGGAGAAACAUCUACCUGACCAAGUGACAGUGCCAAGAAGCCUUGUCAAGUAUCAAGAAGAGAUCACAGGAAUCCAACUGCAUACUUUCGGGGACGCAAGUGGAAAAGGGGUUUCAACGAUUGUGUACGCAGUGAUUCAGCAACAGACAGGAGUCAGCCAGGGACUCGUUGCCGCCAAGUCGCGUCUCGCAAAACACGGACUGACCAUUCCCAGACAAGAGCUAGUGUCGGCGCAUAUGAGUACUAACCUUGUGCACAACGUGAAAGUAGCAUUGGCGGGUUUUCCAGUAACAGGCGUUUACGGUUGGCUUGACAGUACCGUGGCUCUCCAUUGGAUAAACGGGAAUGGAGAAUAUAAACAGUUUGUAAGAAAUCGCGUAAGAAAAAUCCAAGAAAAGCAUUACAUCCAGUGGGGACAUGUACCUACAGCCGAAAACCCAGCAGACGUGGGAAGCCGUGGUGGAUCUGUAGAACAACUAUCCGAGCUUUGGUGGCGGGGACCUGCAUGGCUGCAGCAUCCAGAAAGUUGGCCAGAGACAGUUGUUACGAGCGCGACUGCAGGAAGUGAAUCCGAAGCUAAGAUUGUACGAGAUGUGUUGGCAGUAGCGAUGCGAGAGGAAGAUAAGCUUGAUGAGCUGAUGGAAAAGUUCGAGUAUUGGAAAGUCAUACGAACAACCGCUUGGGUAGCAAGGUUCACCAGCAAUUGCAAGUUGAAGCAAUCGGAACGAAUCAAAGGUCCUCUAAAGACAGCAGAAACCAACCUUCAAGUCGACUUUUGGGUAAAGCGAGUGCAAGAGAAAUGUCAAGGAACCAGAGAAUUCGAGGAAGAUCGACAGCGUCUCAACUUACA